AUGGGGUUUAUCCGUGUCGAAGUGUUCAAUUCCUUCAAAAGGUUCUUUAAAAAAAAAAAAAAAAAAAAAAUCGAAGCCCGCUGGCCCCCAGCCGCGCCGACGGGUAAGAAACCGGCGGCUGGAAACUGUGGGAGGUGGCUCGGGGCCAGGGCACGGACGGACAGCGGCUGCGACCCCACGGCUCCUGGAAGAGGACGCGCUGACGGGGACCCAAGCGGACCGGGGCGGGCUCCUCCCCAGAGGAUCACGACCGGCGGCGCGCGGCGUCCCCCGGGGCCUCUCCUCCCCGCGAGCGCGCCAGGGAAGGGCCCGCCGGCGACACGGGGGAGCGCGACGCCGCUCCGCGGUCCCCACAGAGCGACCGAGGAAGGGGCAGCCUCGCGGACUCCGACCUCGUACGCCCCCCGCCCGAGCCCAGGCCCGAGGCGCCGGGAGGGUGCGCUCCCGUCGCGGCGAGGACACCUGAGGAGACUCGCGGGCCGAAGCGUGUGGGGGAAGGGGGCCGGGACGCCGUCCCAUCCUCAUACCCGGUGGGCGGCGGGGCCGGGGGCGAGAGGGAUGGAAGGACCGGGCGCAGCCGAAACUGGAGGGUGGCCGGCGAGGCCCGAAGCCGGAGCGCGAGCGGAAGAUACCUGCCAAAACCUGGGGCCGGGGCGCCGGACAGCCUCCCUCGGCACGCUUCGAGGCCUCAGGCGGUUGCUCGCCACUCGCUCCGCAGCGGCACUACCAGCUCAGAGACCUCCCGCCAACCGCGAGCGAGGCCGGCGCGGGCCAAUCAGCGCACAGAGCCGCCGCCGGGGGCGGGGCCAGGCUGCGCGCGCCGCGUCCCCAACUCUAGCUGGAGCGUUCCAGCUCGAGCUCCCGCUGCACCUGCCUGCCGCCCCGCCAGCCUUCUACCAGGCCUUGCUAACCCUCGGGGCCGGACCCUGGCACAAGCCACCACCCUCCCAGAUCUCUUCUGGCCUCCGAAUUGAUCGCCUCUCCUUUGGACGCUCAUUGAAGUCUGGCUUGUAUCCGAGCGCUGUACCUCGUCUCCAGUUAGAUGGAGAAGCCCUGGGGGGCUGGGACUACAGGCCUUCCUUAACUCACUUCCACUUCACAGCACCAAGCGCGAUGCCUGCACACAAACACCAGCAGGUACUCGACAAAGAGAGAUGUCAAUAG
rnacentral:lncRNA from 1 species